GGACCGGUAGUUCAGUUGGUUAGAAUGCCGGCCUGUCACGCCGGAGGUCGCGGGUUCGAGUCCCGUCCGGUCCGCCA
rnacentral:tRNA from 183 species